GCUAACAAAGGUUAUCCAUGAUCUCCACGGAAAUAACUCAGAGUGGAAACAAGGAGGGCGCGUUUGCUAUCCACUACACAAGAAAUUACGUCAGUAAGAAAGAUCCUUUCCUUAACCCUGUGACAUUCCAUGUGUUGCAAACACGGGUGAUUCUGAGUCAGGGCUUUCGGUGGGAGCCGGAAGAGGCUAAGGAAAUUGACGGUCAUCUGAAGACUCGUGAAGGCCUAGAAAGAAUAAGCACUGUUGGCAGGGCUUCAUCCUCUGGCUGGUAAGCUUCUUCUGACUUUCAGGCAGGAGAACCUAUGUGCUUAACGUACAGACCUCUAAAGUGUUCUUGUGACCCUACAACUGGAUCCCAUCUAAGAUAUUGACUCAAGAGAAGAUUGAACCACACUACCUCAUAGGACAAAGACUCAGGGGCUGCCCUCUGUCAGAUCCUCCAUAAGUCACUGACGGCAAAGACCAGCCCCAGUCUUCAGAGGUGGGGUUGUACUGAACUCUGAAUGGCAGAGGUGAGAACCAUGGUGGAUCUCCUAUCAUAGAUGGAUUGCACAUUGGGAGCCUUCCUUCAGGUGCAGCCUAGCUUACCAAACAGUGAAAUCAUUCACUGGAGAAUUUGCAUAUGGAAUACAGAUAAACUGCACGGAGGAGACGCAGAGGCUGAGAUUGACAGGGAACUGCAGUCUGGAUACUUCACGAUGGGGACCGUCUGGAUGGUGGACAGAUGCUGCUAGACUCUGCUGAUGCAAUUAUGAGCAUUCCUAGGCAAUAUGCACGUUCAGCAGAUGAAUAUGAAAACCCAGCCUGUACAAAAUUCAACUCAACAACACAAGAAAGGCCUCGAGGUAAACUCCACAACUCGAAAGAGCGGGAAAAAACACAAGGGGAAGCUCUUGAAGGCAGGCAAGGGCAAGGACUCUCUGAAGAAGACGUCAGUCGCCCGGGAAAUGGUACCCAGAAUUGACAAGUAAGGCUCUGUGAAAUCAGAAAGGCUUCUGCAGAGCCCAGGGAGUAACAGCAGACGGCAGAUAGAGGCAACGCUUUGCUCAUUAUAUGCCCUGUAGAAGACUGACAUCCAACAUAUACUGGAAACAGUUGCUGCAAAUGGUCUGAGAGGCCACCAAGAAAACCUUGAGGUAUCUGGGCAAUGGCUUUAGAAAUGUGGCAGGCAGCAAGACGGAAGGCAUGACUUCACAGGAAAGAAAUGCACCAUGCAUGUGCAUGUUGCAGAGACUAUGCUACUGCCUGACAAUGUGACUAGGCCAUGGAUAAUGGGAGGGUAAAGUCUGGGUGACACAGGAAGAAGCGCUUUAUCAAUACCGUUGUUGCUGGUUCUCCUACUAAGGAAGUCAGAGAGAUAAGUCAGAGAUGAGGCUGGACUGGGGGGCUGAGGAGAGAAGCAGGGCACAGAGACAUGAGUGCUCUGGAGGACUGGCAUUCUUCCACUCAUUGAAGAUGUUUCCAUUCUUCAGGUCCAAAGUGUCUUUGUGAAACGGCCUCCUCAUCAAAUACUUCCUAUCCAAAACAUAAGGAAGAAAAGAUAGAAAACCAAAAGCCAUGGUCAAAAUGUAUUUUGUUCAAUGAAAUCGAAAUAUUUAUAAGCUGUAUAUCAGAUGGUUCUCUCCUAUGGCUGACAGAGUAUGUCACAAGAAGCCGAAGCUGACAAUGCUCAGGACAGACAUUUUCUAUGUUUCUCCCAAAUACCCAUGUUAGUUGCACUGUGCUCUGUGUGGCUCUCCCUCAAGGUAAAGGGGAAAUAAGCUUCUGGAGAAGAGACAGUCAGAAAAUCAAGGCUUUUUCAAUAUAUAAGAGUGUUUGAGUUGGGGG
rnacentral:sRNA from 1 species